rnacentral:rRNA from 1 species
GAUGAACGCUGGCGGUAUGCCUAACACAUGCAAGUCGUACGAGAGUUUUUAACUCAAGUGGCGGACGGGUGAGUAACACGUGAGAAUUUACCUUUAGGAGGGGGACAACAAUUGGAAACGAUUGCUAAUACCCCAUAUGCUUUCGAGUGAAACGGUUUUUCCGCCUAAAGAAAAGCUCGCGGCUGAUUAGCUUGUUGGUAAGGUAAUGGCUUACCAAGGCGACGAUCAGUAUCUGGUUUGAGAGGACGAUCAGACACACUGGAACUGAGACACGGUCCAGACUCCUACGGGAGGCAGCAGUGGGGAAUUUUCCGCAAUGGGCGAAAGCCUGACGGAGCAAUACCGCGUGAGGGAAGACUGCCUAUGGGUUGUAAACCUCUUUUUUCAGGGA